GUUGCCAUAGAAACCUGACGUCAAUAUGGCGACCGUGACGACUUUUCUACAGAGACAGACGUGGCCUGACGAGAAAAGCAGGUCCCGCCUUCAGAGAAGGUAUGGACUCUGAGCCACAGAAACAGGAUCCAGUAGAGAAGAACUAAGUGUGAUGUUGAAUCUGCUAGACAGGUUCCUGGAGCAAGAGUGAAGAGAUCAGGCCCCAUCACUGGGACAUUUUAGUUUGAUAUGAGUGAAGCAAUUUCUUAUUGAGCCCCAGGAAGAAGAAAUAGUGCAGAAGAGAAGGAAUAAUAAUGGGUCAGCUAGACAGAAGAUGAGAAUCAUCAAACAUGUGUCCCAGUAGCCAGACCUAUCAACAGAGCACAGGACCUUGGAUGCUGGCUACCUGAUGGAAAGGAAGGAAGAAACAUAAGGAGAGCAAAUACACAUGCACAUCUCAACAUUGUGACCUGCCAUAUAUGCCCUCCUUGCCAUGUAUAUUCUCUUGCAGAGCUACUAAAAUGGACACAACCAUUAUUUUUAGCUUAUGUGCAGUAGGGAGCACUAGCACAUUCUGCAGAUACUAUUUUCAACCCUUUUUUCCCUGAGGUCUUCAAAGGCUUAGUUUCCCAAGUGCCAUCUAGCUCAAAGUGCAGGCCUAAUUUACUGGCUUUCAUUCAGUUACUCAUGUAGGCCUGUGUACCUAGAAUCUAAUCUGUAGUAUCCUGGUGAAAUUUAGUUUUUCUGUUUCCAGACUACUACCCAUAUCCCUUGAUUGGCUUGAGGAUGCAUCCCAUUUUGAACUUGAUCUGAUUUUGUAUUACAAGUUCUGGGCAUGUGUAUAUUUUCCUUUCCUUUUAUUAUUCUUAGUUGCACAAGGAAGGUGAUUCAGUGGUGUUUUAAUAUGUAUGUGUUGAUUGCUCCUGAAUAAGCCUGUGACUAAACUUUAACCCUGAAUCCCACUGUUUAAGGUUUUUCCCCCUCUGGAUGCUGUGGAGCUGAACUCUGAGUGAUCCCAUGCAGACUGUCACCCUUUUACUCCCUUGUGGCAUUCAUUGUUUAGAUUAUUGGGAGGUUAAGCGGAUGAGCCUUCUUUUAAUUCAAGGAGCUUUAUUUGGGAGAGUACAUAAAGAGUGUUGUGAAACUACUUUUAUCUAAAAUCCAGGGAAGUGGAGAUGUCAUCUGACUGUCAAAUGUAAGGUUUAUCUGAGAGAUAUGCUUGCCCUUCCCCUAGGCAAUUAUAUUUUUCCUGAAGCUACCAAAAUGGGACUGUCAUGUGGAUAGAUUCAUAAAUUAGUUUUGUGGCCACCUCAUUACCUAAUUCCCUUGGUUUAGGAAUGUUCUUUAUCUGACACUGACCCACUGUGGAAUGGCUAGGGAUACUUAUUUUUUCUCUUUAUUCUUUUUGCUUCAGAACGCAAGUGCUUUUGUUGUAGAUAAAAAUGGGAAAUGCAGGAAAGGUAAAAAAGAAAAAUUAGAAACCCUUUAGAAGUCUACUACUUGUGAGUAGGCACAUUAAAUAGUUGAAUAUAAUAUUUUUCAGAAAACAAGACCUACCCAUAUGUUGUCUACAAGAAACUCACUUUAAAUACAAAGAUUCAUAUAGAUUAAAAGUAAAUGCGUGGGGAAUAUGCUAACACUAACCAAGAGAAAGCAGAAGUAGCUAUAUUCAUUUCAGACAGAGCAGACUUCAAAUCAAGGGGAGUUAUCAGGGAUAAAGAAAGGCAUUCUAUAAUGAUUAAAGAAGUCAGUUCUCCAAGACAUAACAGUCUUUAACAUUUAUGUGCUUAACAACAAAGUAUAAAAAUAUGUGAGGCAAAAACUAAUAGAAUUGCAAAGGGAAGUAUAAUAGAUUGAUCGCAUGAUCACAUCAGUGCAUUUGACAGAAGCAUUUGAGAAAAUGCGACACUCAUUCAUGAUUGAAAAAAAAAAAAACUUCUCAAUAAACUAGGAAUAGAGGAGAAAUUCCUCAUAUUGAUAAUGAAUAUCUACAAAAAACCUACAGCUAACAUCAUAUUAAUGGUGAGAAACUUAAAGUUUUCCCAAUAAAAUCAGGUACAAAGCAAGGAUGUUCACUUUCACAACUCCUUUUCAGUAUCAAUACUGGAAGUUCUAGCUAAUGCAAAAAGGUAAGUAAAGGAAAUAGAAGGUAUACAGUUUGGGAAGGAAGAAAUAUAAUUGUCUUUGUUCACAAAUGACAUUAUCAUCUAUGUAGAAAAUCCAAAAGAAUCAACAACAAAAAUACCCCUCUAGAACAAAUAAGCAAUUAUGGCAAGGUUGUGGUAUACAAGGUUAAAAUACAAAAGUCAGCCAUUUUCCUAUAUACCAGCAAAGAACAAGUAGGAUUUGAAAUUGAAAAUACAAUCCAUUUACAUUAUAACCUUCCAAAAUGAAGUACUUAUGUAUAAAUCUAACAAAAUAUGUACAAGAUCUAUAUGAGGAAAACUACAAAACUCUGAUGAAUGAAAUCAAAGAACUAAAUAAAUAGAGAUGUUCCAUGUUCAUGAACAAGAAGACUCAGUAUUGUUAAGGUGUCAGUUCUUCCCGACUGGAUCUGUAGGUUCAAUGCAAUAACCCCCCCCCCAAAUCCCAGCCAGUUAUUUUGUGGAUAUUGAAAAACUGAUUCUAAUGUUUAUAUGGAGAGAUAAAAGACCCAGAAUAGCCAACAUGAUACUGAAGGAGAAGAACAAAGUUGGAGGGCUGAUGCUACCCAACUUCAAGGCUUUUUAUAAAGUUCACAACACUGUGGUAUUGGCAAAAGAGCAAAUAGAUCAAUGGAACAAUAAAGAGCCUGUAAAUAGACCCACAUAAAUAUAGUCAACUGAUCUUCAACGAAGGAGCAAAGGCAAAAGAAUGGAGUAAAGAUAGUUUUUACUAAUGGUGCUGAAAGAACCAGACAUGCACAUGGGAAAAAAUGAAUCUAGACACAGACCUUACACCAUUCACAAAAAUAACUCAAAAUAGAUCACAGCCCUAAAUUUAAAACAUAAAACUAUAAAAUGGCUAGAAGAUUUAGGAAAAAACCUAGUUACCCUUUUUUAUGGCAAUGUCAUUUUAGAUAUAAUACCAAAGGCACAAUCUGUGAAAUAAAUAAUUGAUAAGCUGGAAUUCAUGAAAAUUAGAAACUUUCGCUCUGCAAAGGACAGUGUCAAGAGAAAGAGAAGACAAGUCAAAGAAUGGAAGAAAAUAUUUGCAAAAGACAU